AUAAAUUCAAUUACUCAUCGUACCCAUUGUGAAAAUAUGUAUCUUUAGAGCGGCAAAACUUGAUAUUUUUGAGAAUUUAGUGGUACAAUUGACAGAAACCUAGAGACAAGGCUGCAGUCCCUCUGACAAGGAGCUGCAAAUUUUGCUUAAAAAGAAUUAAAAUUGCUUUAAAAGUAAGAAAUUUUUCCCCAAUUGAAACGAAAGGUAUGGUUUCUUAGAUAGAAAUGAGCCUGGUGGUUAUUCCGCAAAAGUUGCAAGUCUUUCUCUUAAUGCUACUGAGAAGGAUGCCUGUGAUUUCUGUGCUUCUGCAGAGCAAUCGAAAAUGUUGAAUUUCAGUGACCGUCACAUGUAGCGGCUGCAUUCUGGAGUAAUCCUUUGAUGGCGGUGGACUUUGUUUCCAACAAUUAUUUACAGUUAAACACUCCGAUUGGCGUCGAUGGAGGUGGAGGUGGAGGUGGAGGUGGAGGCGACAACAACAAUCGGGUAGAAGAAGUGGAGGAUGAAGAAGGAAGGUAAUCUUCUUACAGUAUGUAUAGAUUGAUGUCUUCUUCUUAUGCUUUUUUUUUGUAUACUCUUUUGCCUCACUUUGAUGAAUCACUUGGAUUGUCUUCCCUAAUGGUCACUUGCCUAACAGUACUAUUUAGCCCCAUUGAUUUUGGAAAGAUCCGUACAUGAUUUGUAUAUAGAAAUGAAAAUGUAUUAAGAAUUGGCUAAAACAUAAAGUUUUAUUCAAAGAAGAAUGUCUAACAGUAUAAAAAACUCUUAAACUUAUUUAAUUACAUGAAAGUUCCAAAAUAGAUCUACUGUCUUUGAGGGAUUAGCCUCGCAGUCUAUACAUCAAGGAUUCUAGACAAAGAAAAUUUUUCUUCAAAUUUUUUUUUCCUCCUCUCCUUGUUUGAAGUUCUUUCUUUUAUAGCUGAUUGGAAAGAUUCAUUGUUUUUCUCAUUGGUUCUUUUGUCAUUAUCAACAGUUUUUCUUUUGCCGAAAGCAAAAGUAGUGAUAAAGUGAUAUGACAAAAUUUUUGUCUUCUUUCCCUGAUUUUCAAAUAUGCUCCCUCUUUUUAAAAAGUAGGUAUCGUCUUUGUCAAAAGUUGGUAUCUUUUUUCAACUUGAUGGACCACAUAGAGGAUUUUAUACUAAUUGGGCUCAAGUUGAACCACUUGUGAAACAUAAGCCCCACAAAUACAAAAGUUUCAAAACAUAUACAGAAGUCCAAAGAGCCUUUUCAGACUUUCAUGAAGCCAAAGGCCAAAGCAUGCCAUACAAACAACUUUUUGAAUAUGACAAUAUUCAAUUAAAACCAAACUAUUGUUCAAAUCCAAGACCAAGGCCCAGAUUACCAGCCCAACUCUUUCGACCACCACCAAGUGAAAACCAAAGGAUUAGAAUGAUAUCUUUCAAAGAUGCAGGUGAAUCCCAUACAGAAAAUGAAUCCAUACCAAUUAGAUUCAAAAGAAUUGGAAAAAUUCCAAAACCAUAAGAGAGUCCAAUUCUUAGUGGAAUUACAAUGAAUGACUUUCUUCAAUAUGAAGAAGAAGCUCGAAUUAUGGGAACAUCUGUUCCAGAAAAAGGAUACUAUGGAACAAUGAAAAAGAAAUUUGGACAAUUCAUCUUUUUUGAAGGAGCUGAUCCAACAAUGGUAUAAACAACAUUUCACUGUGGAUUAAUCAAGAUGAUAAUUCUUAGUGAAUCAAUAGAAGAAAUUAAGAAGAUUGAUAACAAUUUGAUUAAAGUCUUAAAAGAUUUUAAGAAAUUUGUUAUUAAAGACCAGAAACUGCAGAUGAUGCUGAAAAUUAACAGUACUAUUCCGUUUUGGAAUGAAGAAGGUUUCCUAAUUAAAGGAUACCACCAUAUUCAGAUCAAGACAAUUCCAGAAGUGAUUCUGAAUAAACCAAUCCAAUGAAAUACUGAAUGUGUUAAUGAGCAAAUACUUCAUGAAUGGAGAAAUCUCUCUUUCCAGAGAAUUUUAAUAGGAUUGAAGACCUUCAACAAUGAAUCAAAAAUCAAGGUGAAUUAUUUUUCAGAUUUUAUCUUGGUUACAAGCAAAACUGGAUCAACAAUUCAAUUGGAAGGAAUAAAAAUUCUUUGCUAUUUUGAAAAGAAUUUUUAUAAUUUGUCCAAUACCCCCAUCAAAUUACCAAGGCCAAUUAUGCAAAGUAUUAAGAUAAAGUUUUGGAAAAUAUCACGAAUGCCAAUGGUUUAAUACAAUUGAAGAAAAUGACAAAGGGAAAAAUACAAUACAAGAUGAUGGUGAGCCAAGUGGAGCAUCCACCAAAAGCAAAAUCCAGGAGGACCAACCAGAUUAAAAAUCUUGUUUUCAAAAGAGCAUGUCAACUGGUUUUUGGAAAAAAGAUGCCAACUUUUGACAAAGACUAUACCUACUUAUUAAAAAGAGGGAGCAUUUUUGAAAAUCAGGGAAAGAAGACAAAUUUUGUUAUAUCAUUUUAUCACUACUUUUGCUUUCGGCAAAAGAAAAACUGUUGAUAAUGAGAAAAGAACCAAUGAGGAAAAGGAGGAAUAUUUUCAAUCGACUAUAAAAGAAAGAACUUCAAACAAGGAGUAGAGGAAAAAAAUUUUAAAGAAAAAUUUUCUUUGUCUAGACUGCGAGGCUAAUUCCUGAAAGACAGUAGAUCCAUUUUGGAUAUUUCAUGUAAUUAAAUAAGUUUAAGAGUUCUUUAUACUCUUAGACCUUUUUCUUUGAAUAAAACUUUAUGUUUUAGUCAAUUCUUCAUACAUUUUCAUUUCUAUAUAUAAACCAUGUACGGAUCUUUCUAGAAUCAAUGGGGCUAAAUAGUAUCGUUAGGCAGGUGGCCGUUGGGGAAGACAGUCCAGAUGAUUCAUCAAAGUGAGGCAAAGGAGUAUACAGAAAAAAGCGUAAGAAGAAGCCAUCAAUCUAUACAUAUUGUAAGAAGGUUAUGAGUUUAAGAAUUUUUAAUUUAUUUAAACAUGAUUUUCCAUAUGGAUUUUACUGCCUGCAAAAAAUUUGUAUACUUUUAUAUUAAAAUACAUACUUCCGCACCCCUUUUUUUGGGUGUUUCAAUUGCUACUGGUAUUAUUUAUCCAUCUCCAAUUCAAUUGGUUGGGCCAUCUAUAUAUAUACACCAAAAUUUUCAUUCAUCUUCUUCUUCCUCGAUUCUUUCCCUUUUUCAAUUGUUCCAGCUCUGCAACUUCUUGGCGGUCCCAUGGCUAUUGAAGACUCUGGCAGGGCCAGCAUGCGUAGCCGCGCCCCCCUCGCUGGGCGCGGGCUCCACCCUUGCUAGUCUCUCCCACCCACCUUUGGUUGUGUCAUUGGACUUAAUAAAUUCAUACUCAAUCUGCACUAGGGAGCACAGAUACAUUGCAUACUCCGUUUGUAUUUAGAGUCCGUAUUCUAAAAAGUGUAAAACAUGUCUAGAUAUGGAGCCUAAGUUUCAAACUUUAUGAGACUAGACGAGCCUAAGCUCUAGGCGUAAAAAAGCACUUUGUUAGUUUUAAUAUUAUUUUAAAAUAUUAAUCAUU